UAGGACGACGUCUGUUACCUUUUUGGAGGCAUACGUCUAGGGUAGGAUUGGUGACUGGAGUUAAGUCGUAACAAGGUAUCCCUACGAGAACGUGGGGAUGGAUCACCUCCUUUCUUCGGAGUAAAUUUUAAAUUUACGUACAAAAGUGUACAUUUUAUAAAAAUCCAUUAUAUAUAAGCCACAAAUUAUUUUUAUUAUAUUCAUAUAAUGGUCGGAUUCUAUUUAGUUUUGAGAGAUUCAUUCUCUCCCAUAUUAGUAUUAAUACAUUAAUAUGGUGAUCGAUCUUUGAAAACUGAAUAAUAUCAACAAAUCUUUCUAAUCAAUGGCGAUUUAAUUUGUCAUUGAACAGAUACUAUAUUUUUAAUAUAGUUAACAAUCAUAUAACAAAACUUAAAGGAUUUAUAAUAAGUUACUAAGAGCUUAUGGUGAAUGCCUUGGGACAAACAGGCGAUGAAGGACGUGCAAAUCUGCGAUAAGCAACGGGUAGUUGAUAAGAAACGCCAAUCCGUUGAUCUCCGAAUGAGGAAACUCAGUAUAGUAACUCCAUUACUAUAUUAUUAUUAAGUAAAUUCAUAGCUUAAUAAAGCAAUACUUGGUGAAGUGAAACAUCUCAGUAGCCAAAGGAAAAGAAAACGAAUGUGAUUCCCUCAGUAGCGGCGAGCGAAAGGGGAGUAGGCCAAACCAAGAUUUAUCUUGGGGUUGUAGGACUACAAUGUGGACUAAAUAAUGAUAGUAGAAUUGGUUGGGAAGCCAAAUCAUAGAGGGUGAUAAUCCCGUAUACGAA
rnacentral:misc_RNA from 1 species